UGAGAAUUAGGUAGACUGGACAUUGCUGCCGCUCACGGUGAAAGAAUUUCGUCAAUAGGACCUGUACUUUUCAUUUGGGAGCGAUUUGUUUCGACCUGACUUUUCUGUUCAUUUUAAGCAGCAAAAGUGAGGUGCAUGUCUGUGUGCGUGUGUACUGAGCCAUUGGGUGCAGUUACUAUAGCAACCAGGCUCACACCUGCCUGCCUAACGAGCUCUGUCUCUCACUGUGCCAAGAUUCAUCUUAAACACUUCUCUUUCAACUGCUGCUGUGUCCACAGUGUUUGCUCUACAGCCAUCAUUUUACCCUCAAAACGUCGCCAUCGAUGUUCUCUUUCCAACAGCAUGUCUUUCAAAGCUCAGAAAUAUAAACUUUUUAAACUGUGUGGAUCCAAGUGGAGGGAUCACACAUUUCAGUCAUUCAGUGAUUCAAAGAAUAUGAACUUUUAAUAUUCAUUCAGAUGUUUUCUGACUCUAAAUUUUCUUUUCUCAUUACUUAGGUUUUUCUAAUUUACAUUUAAAACAUUUUCAGCUCUUUUCCAACUUCUUCUGUGUGGAUUUCAGCUUUUAGCAGUUCAGCACUUUUGUUUUCAGGUAAAAAUUUCUGUAUUUUUCAUCUCAUUCAAAAUUCCUAACUUAAAUUCAGCAAUUAAUUCAUUUCAGUGCAUACAUUCAGAUUCAAGCAUUCACACUGCAGUUUCUUCAGAAAAUGCACUUUCUAGUUAUUAUUCUAGUUGCUUCCGUACGUUUUUUGGACUUUAACUACUUUAACAAUUUUCAGCCGAUUUUCACCGUUCAAAUUUUAAACUAUUCAGCUUUUUCUGCUAACGACUGCUAUGACUUUUGGUAUUUUUAACUGUUAUACUUUUUAAAAUAUUAAGCUUUUUUCCUUUAAUUUGUCCCAUUGAAAUGAAUGGGAAACUUC
ensembl:lncRNA